rnacentral:misc_RNA from 1 species
GGAGACGCUUAUCACUCUUCGCGAGUCCUGCGUGUCGUUAGGCUGCCUUUGCGAACUGACGAACCUUUUCUCUAGUCUCCAGUACAUUUCAACUAGUCAUUUUUCCUUGUUCGGCGAUUCUCCACGACAGCGUCAACCAUUACGCACAAGGAGCGCGAGUCUCUAGCGGCGAAGCAGCGCACCAUUCCGUCGUCAAAGCGAAACUACGCGGCGGAGACGUCUGCUUCAGCGCGCCGCGUCCGCAACAGAGCCAAGUUGUGCUCCACAGUGCCUGCUAAAAGAACGAAACUGAGGGCUCACGGCUGCAACAUCGCUCAUUUGAGCUUCGUCUCACAAGCCGACAGUUUGCUGCGCGACUGCGGCAAGUCGUACGGCGCCAUGGCCUCCAUACCAUACACAAUGCACUCUGCCGUGAAUCUGCACAAGAAGCUCACAGAAGAGCAGACAAAAAAUGUCGGCGUCAUCUUUGAACCACCGACCAGCACGGUUGAGACAACACUGCCAAAGUACAACCCGAAGCUCAUGAACAGCAUCUGGGGUCUCUACAACCGCUAUGCUCCGCACUCCUUCCAAAAGAACUGCGAAAUCCCCUGCUGCUCCGUGCCCGGGAUUGCUGGCGCCAAGGACAAGUCAUUUGGAUUGUCCCUCUGGAACCGCCUGCACUGAGCAUAUGGCUCUAUAUACCCCGGUAGCAUGAAGGAGCAUCAAAGCACUCACAGACCAAGAGCGCAACUGUGGUUUUUUUAUAAGGUUGUGUAGUACAAAUUAGAUGAUGUAGAAAUAAAGUGUGUGUCAUUUACUACCACUUUUGCAAGGCACUUCUGGUUUUACAGCUAAAGGCAGGCUUCCAAUUCCAAGUGCAAUGGAUAUUUGAUUUCAUUUCUUCACAGUGAUAGCAGUGUGAAGAAUGUUUUGUCGAGUUUACAGCGAUUUAACAGCACCUUGGCGUAAUGCAGAUUGUCAGAUAAUUUACUUGAAAAAAGGAAGUGAUAUCGAUGAGAUUUGAACUUGGGUCCCUGCCGGCGGCAGGUCCAGAUAUAGUAA